GUAAAUGUUUGUAGUGAUUAUGCAAGAUUGUCUCAUGUAUACAUAUAACUGUUAUUGAUUCUUAGCAAACAUUUCAAUCAAGAAACGAGUGCACGACCAAGUGAUGUUAACAAGGCGACUGCAUGAGGAAACAAGAGUUUUGGUUUUGGAGAUGGCACAACACUGCACAUGGUUGCAGAGCUUGGCAAUGGUUCUCAAGAACAAGUUGGCUGAAGAGGACCAGGGAAAUGAGGGAUUUUGCUGUCUCUUAAGAAGAAGACUGUCAGAGGUGUCAGAAAGGUUCCAAAUGGUCCUCCAACAGUACAAGACUGCCUUAGGUCCUGAGGCCUCUGUCCUUCUACAUGUUGAAGAGGAAGAUCAAAGUGACCUCAGUAGUCCAGACACCAGUGAGGAUGAAGAGGAAAACACAAUUUAGAUGGAAGCUGCACGAAGGACUAUGUGGAAGGAAAUGGACUUGCCCUAUAUCUGUGUAUUUUUAGAAUGCUGAUUAAUUAACCACAUCAAAAUCUUGUUGAAAAUUCAAACUGUGUCUUUAGAUUUUCCAAGCAAUUUAGUAAGCACAUUGCAGAGUUCAUUGAAAAUGCACAAACAUCUCAUUAUAGGGCCACCAAUCUUAGCCAAAAAUGUCAACUUUGCAUGUAUGAUAUUACCAGAUGUAAUUACUGUGCUCAUGAUAUUUGGGUAGUGUACACUCUUCUAAAAGAGAGACUCCCCUUGAUUGUGGUGACCCUGUAACCUUUCCUUUUGCACCAACGUUGCCACCAACGUUGCCAAACUCUUGACCUGCACACAACAAAUGUUAUGAACCGAUUUCUGUAAUUUUCUGAGCAAUGAAUCACGUCAUGUUGACCUUAUGACAUUCCCUGUAGCACAAUCAUUAGACCAGAAUGUAAAAUUGAAUAUUGUCUAAUUGGGUAGAUUGCCAUGAAAUCUUGUAAGCACAUGAUGACUUUGGUGACCUCAUGACAAUUCCUCUAUCAUCACAUUUAGGCCUUAAUGUAAAAACUCAUUCUUGAUUGCAUUUCUCAAUAUUCACUUAUUCUGUGGUGCCGUGUCAGUCUAUGACAUUUUGUUUUUCCCCAGAGGAGGCUGCCUAUGGAUCACUACUUGAUUGAGUGUAUUAUAUAACUGUUGUGUUACUUUAUAUUACUGCAAAGAUGCAUUAUAGUAUGUAACAGAAAAAUACAGUUUUUUAUUUUACGAUUAUACUUUAUAUUGUAUAUUAUUACAGUUGACAGAUGACUUAAUUCUUUUUUCUGCUGGAGCUUUUCAAGUGAAC